GACGAACGCUGGCGGCGUGCUUAACACAUGCAAGUCGAACGGAAAGGCCUGCUUUCCCUUGUGGAUUGCGGGUGCUCGAGUGGCGAACGGGUGAGUAACACGUGAGUGAUCUGCCCCCAACUUGGGUAUAAGCCUGGGAAACUGGGUCUAAUUCCCGAUAGUACUGCAGGGUGGUGCCUGUGGUGGAACACGAUUUUCUAGUGUGUGGGGAUGAGCUCGCGGCCUAUCAGCUCGUUGGUGGGGUAAUGGCCUACCAAGGCGGGGACGGGGAGCCGGCCUGAGAGGGUGGACGGCGACAUUGGGACUGGGACACGGCCCAGACUCCUACGAGAGGCAGCAGUGGGGAAUAAUGGACAAUGGGCGGAAGCCUGAUGCAGCGACGCCGCGUGGGGGAUGACGGCCUUGGGGUUGUAAACUCCUUUGGACCGCGAGGAAGCCACCUGGUUGGAAGGGUGGUGACGGUAGUGGUAGAAGAAGCACCGGCUAACUACGUG
rnacentral:rRNA from 1 species